rnacentral:lncRNA from 1 species
CCUGUCUUCCAUACAGUUCAAUGUUUUUCCAGGCUCAUCCUAAUCAGUGUUCCCAGGCGUGCGGAUAUUUCCGCGCCGCGCGGACAUUCCCUAUACCCGCGCGGACAGCGUACGGACAAAAACCUUAUGGGAAAAUUUUUCCCUAUCUUAUUUGGUCCGUACGCUCGCCCGGCCCUGUCCGUGCGUCUGUUUAUCCGCUUUUCUUUGCAAUAUUUAUUACUUUUGCGUAAGUUAUUGAUACAAUGAUGUUUAGUAUGAAAGCCGGGUCUCGUUUGGGAACAAAUUAGAUACUUUUUGCAUUAAUUAUAUUGUAUUCUUAUCAAAAUUCAGCCUUUUCAUUUAAGGUCCGUCCUUGUUUUCUGUAUUGUUGUGCUUUUGUGUUUGAUCACUCAGACAUUUUUUCUUACUUUUUUUUCUCAAUUUCGCCAAUGUUAUUGAUAUAAGGAAGCCACGAAUAAAACCCAGGUAUCAUUCAGGACCCGAUUUAGUACUUUCUGCAUUAAUUUAUGUGUUAUUCAAUCAGUUCAAUGGGUUAGGAAUCAUGAAUUUCAUGAAAAGUCAGCUCCUUUCAUUUGAAUUAUUGCCUUUUGAUGUAGGCACCUAUAAUUGUUCCGAUUAUUUUUUCCUGUCAAUGCUUUCUAGAGGACAUAGGUACUUGAAUGUCACAAGAGAUCAAGAGAACAUCAACAUUAUCAACAAAACAACAAAACAGCCGGGGCCGGAAUCGGAAACGGAAACGGAAUUCACGGAAACGGACGGAGCACGGAGCGGCACGGAUAUACACGAGCCCAUCCGGAGAGCGUACGGACAUUUUAAGAUAGGAGCACCUGGGAACACUGAUCCUAAUGUGUAGCUACGCCCUUAAUAUGUCAGCCAAGCGAUGAAUAAUAAGCUGACACUUAAACUUGGCUUUUUCUCUCAGUGGAAACAGGAUGGAACCGUUUGUGAUCGGACUCAAAUUGGACAUAUUUCUAUCAGACGGAACCAUGUGCAUUAAGACAUGAGCCCUGAGACUCAUAUAAAUAUGUGCAUAGAGGGCUUACGUCAUAUUGCACAUAGUUCCGUUUGAUAGAAACACGUCCAAUUGGACCAUAAUCCUAUCCUUUUGGUCGUCAGUGAAAGGAAAUGACAUAUUUUCCAUGCACUGACAACCCGCCCGCUUGCUUCUGAAGGAGAUUCUCUUGUAAAGUAA